rnacentral:rRNA from 1 species
UACGGAGGGUGCAAGCGUUGUCCGGAAUCACUGGGCGUAAAGGGCGCGUAGGCGGCUCGGUAAGUAGGGGGUGAAAUCCUGCGGCUUAACCGCAGGGCUGCCUUCUAAACUGUCGAGCUCGAGCACGGUAGAGGCAGAUGGAAUUCCCGGUGUAGCGGUGGAAUGCGUAGAGAUCGGGAAGAACAUCAGUGGCGAAGGCGGUCUGCUGGGCCGUGCUGACGCUGAGGCGCGACAGCGUGGGGAGCAAACAGGAUUAGAGUACCCCGAAGCUAGUCCAGACCC